CACAUGAAAAAAAGCGAGCUACUGGGUGUACCUCCUGGGUAGUUUGGAAAUCACCUAAUAUAUAUAUGUAUAUAUUUAUAAAUAAAAGUUAAUAUAUAUAAAUUAACAUUAUUUUUUUUUAACAGGAAAUGCACAAUGCUAAAAACUGCGUAGGAGAUUUUAAUACAAUAGUACUACCAAGCCUGAUGUUGGCCGCUAUUUCAAUGAAUGCAGCAGUGUGACAGCUAGCAAUCAAAAGUAACAAGAUAUCGAGGAAAUGCAGAUGGCAAUAAACUGUGUAGGAGUUCAUGAUUGCAAUAGAAUAAAAUCGACCAAGCCUGAAGUCAGCAGCCCCCCUUCAAUGAAUGCAGCAGUGUGACAGCCAGCAAUCAAAAGUUACAAGAUAUCGAGGAAAUGCAGAUGGCAAUAAACUGUGUAGGAGUUCAUGAUUGCAAUAGAAUAAAAUCGACCAAGCCUGAAGUCAGCAGCCCCCCUUCAAUGAAUGCAGCAGUGUGACAGCCAGCAAUCAAAAGUUACAAGAUAUCGAGGAAAUGCAGAUGGCAAUAAACUGUGUAGGAGUUCAUGAUUGCAAUAGAAUAAAAUCGACCAAGCCUGAAGUCAGCAGCCCCUUCAAUGAAUGCAGCAGUGUGACAGCCAACAAUCAAAAGUUACAAAAUAUCGAGGAAAUGCAGAAGGCAAAAAACUGCGUAGGAGAUCAUUAAUACAAAAGUAUUAUAUAAACCAAACCUGAUGUUGCCAGCUCCUUCAAUGAAUGCAGCAGUGUGACAGCCAACAAUCAAAAGUAACAAGAUAUCGAGGAAAUGCAGAAGGCAAAAAACUGCGUAGGAGAUCAUUAAUACAAUAGUAUUAUAUAAACCAAGCCUGAUGUUGGCCGCUCAUUCAAAGAAUGCAGCAGUGUGACAGCCAGCAAUCAAAAGUAACAAGAUGUCGAGGAAAUGCAGAGUGUAAUAAACUGUGUAGGAGAUUAUGAUUGCAAUAGAAUAAAAUCGACCAAGCCUGAAGUCCUUCAAUGCACGCAGCAGUGUGACAGCCAGCAAUCAAAAGUUACAAAAUAUCGAAGAAAUACAGAAGGCAAAGAAGCAGAUGUCAUCAAAGAAGAUCUUUGUUCCUGCAAUGUUUCCGCAGACGAUACAUCCAACAGAGCGAAGUGGAAGGAAAAGACUCGGAAUAAAGACCCCACCACCAUAUGGGAACAAUGCAAGGGAGAGAGAGAGAGAAUAUAAUGUUAUAUUUUUAUUUUUUGAUAACAUAAAAUAAACCAACAAUAUCCUA
rnacentral:lncRNA from 1 species